rnacentral:rRNA from 1 species
GAUGAACGCUAGCGGCAGGCCUAACACAUGCAAGUCGAGGGAGAAGCCUUUCGGGGCAGAAACCGGCGCACGGGUGCGUAACGCGUAUGCAACCUACCUUUCACAGGGGGAUAGCCCGAAGAAAUUUGGAUUAAUACCCCAUAAUAUUGUUGGAUGGCAUCAUCUGACAAUUAAAACUGCGGUGGUGAAAGAUGGCAUGCGUCCUAUUAGCUAGUUGGAGUGGUAACGGCACCCCAAGGCUACGAUAGGUAGGGGUCCUGAGAGGGAGAUCCCCCACACUGGUACUGAGACAGGGACCAGACUCCUACGGGAGGCAGCAGUGAGGAAUAUUGGUCAAUGGUCGGAAGACUGAACCAGCCAUGCCGCGUGCAGGAAGAAUGCCUUAUGGGUUGUAAACUGCUUUUAUAUGGGAAGAAUAAGGUGUAUCGUGUACAUUGAUGACGGUACCAUAUGAAUAAAGCAU